rnacentral:lncRNA from 1 species
CCACUAAGAUUGUUAAAUGUUUUUACAUCCGAAAUUCUAGCCAUGCCUUUGCGUUGGCUGAGUCUCACUCUCACGCGGUGGUCCACGUGAAGUGCACUCAAAUCUUUACCUCAGGAGAUACUUCAUCCAACAUCUCCCCCCAGAGGUAAAUAUAUAAUUGGGUUACCGUGCCCCUUUCAUAGGCAAUCCACGGAAACCCCCACCACUACAGUGACUCUGGAUUAUUUUAUCUACCACCUGAUUUAUA